AUGAACGCUGGCGGCGUGCCUAAUACAUGCAAGUCGAGCGAACAGACGAGGAGCUUGCUCCUCUGACGUUAGCGGCGGACGGGUGAGUAACACGUGGAUAACCUACCUAUAAGACUGGGAUAACUUCGGGAAACCGGAGCUAAUACCGGAUAAUAUAUUCAACCGCAUGGUUCAAUAGUGAAAGACGGUUUUGCUGUCACUUAUAGAUGGAUCCGCGCCGCAUUAGCUAGUUGGUAAGGUAACGGCUUACCAAGGCAACGAUGCGUAGCCGACCUGAGAGGGUGAUCGGCCACACUGGAACUGAGACACGGUCCAGACUCCUACGGGAGGCAGCAGUAGGGAAUCUUCCGCAAUGGGCGAAAGCCUGACGGAGCAACGCCGCGUGAGUGAUGAAGGUCUUCGGAUCGUAAAACUCUGUUAUUAGGGAAGAACAAAUGUGUAAGUAACUAUGCACGUCUUGACGGUACCUAAUCAGAAAGCCACGGCUAACUACGUG
rnacentral:rRNA from 1 species